rnacentral:tRNA from 1 species
GUUCUUGAAGUGCAAUGGUUUACAGCAUUGGACCAGCAUUACGAAGGUCUUAGGUUCAAUUCCUUACUAGAACU